rnacentral:lncRNA from 1 species
GUCCACCAGGGGGCGCGCGAGGGUCGGGCAGGGGCCCCGGGCGGAAAGCGGUUGUGUUUCCGGUUCCGGGGCCGGGGCCGGCGGAGUCUACCUUACCCGGGCUUCGCCGGGUGCCGCGCGCCGUGCGUCUCGCCGCGUUGCGAGCUCGGCCUCCUCCGCGGGUCGGAGCCGCUCUCGGUCCCUCGUGUCAAAGCUCUGCCCUUUGGUCUCCUUUUCGGGUUCCCACAAUUUCUGGGCACGAAAACCAGACGUAAACGUGCCUCCAUUCUCCUCUACGGCGUGGGUGGGCGACAGGGCAGGGCGCCCACUGCGGAAAAGUGGACGCGGCCGCCCUGCCUGGCUGCUCGGGCCGUGCAUCCUCCCGCUCCUCAAGAAUGACUGGGAAGGGGGGAGGGUUCAAAGUGGACUCUCCGUUUAAAAGCUGAGUCCGUUUUUCUAAACCACAGUGAACACAGGCACAGAAGAGGCCCCAGGCAGCCUCCGUGCUGAGCCCCCGGGAUGGCCCAGAAGCAAACCAGACCUGGCCCCAGCCCGGGAGGAAGAGCAGCAGUGUCUGGACAGGUCACCGGAUGCCCCAGGAGGCAGGGUGCAGGGCCGGGGGUGGGCAAGGCUGAGGAGCCCACCGCCCGGUCCAGCCGUGGGGCCCUGCUGCCACGGGCCUGCACUGUUUUGUUUGAACAUCACGACAGGAUCGUUUUGUCCACGAGCUCAAGGAGACUCUAAAAUGCGUCAAGGGAAGUGGAUGAGGCUCAACUGAUAGAGCGUCUGCCUACCACAUGGGAGGUCCAGGGUUCAAACCCCAGGCCUCCUUGACCCGUGUGGAGCUGGCCCACGUGCAGUGCAGAUGUGCGCAAGGAGUGCUGUGCCACGCAGGGGUGUCCCCGCGUAGGGGAGCCCCACACACAAGGAGUGUGCCCUAUAAGGAGAGCUGCCCAGUGUGAAAACAGUGCAGCCCGCCCAGGAGUGGCGCCGCACACGUGGAGAGCUGACGCAGCAAGAUGACGCAACAAAAAGAGACACAGAUUCCCGUGCCACUGACACAAGCGGACACAGAACACACAGCGAAUGGACACAGAGAGCAGACAACUGUGGGGUGGGGGGAGGGAAGGGAGAAAAAUUAAAAAUAAA